rnacentral:tRNA from 1 species
GGAGUGGUAGCAAAGAGGCUAUGCAGCAGUCUGCAAAACAAUCUAAAUAGAUAAGAAUUAGCAGUCAACUGUCCCACAAGGGUUCAACUCCCUUCCGCUCCU